GACGAACGCUGGCGGCGUGCCUAAUACAUGCAAGUAGAACGCUGAAGAGAGGAGCUUGCUCUUCUUGGAUGAGUUGCGAACGGGUGAGUAACGCGUAGGUAACCUGCCUUGUAGCGGGGGAUAACUAUUGGAAACGAUAGCUAAUACCGCAUAACAAUGGAUGACACAUGUCAUUUAUUUGAAAGGGGCAAUUGCUCCACUACAAGAUGGACCUGCGUUGUAUUAGCUAGUAGGUGAGGUAAUGGCUCACCUAGGCGACGAUAAAUAGCCGACCUGAGAGGGUGAUCGGCCACACUGGGACUGAGACACGGCCCAGACUCCUACGGGAGGCAGCAGUAGGGAAUCUUCGGCAAUGGGGGCAACCCUGACCGAGCAACGCCGCGUGAGUGAAGAAUGUUUUCGGAUCGUAAAGCUCUGUUGUAAGUCAAGAACGGGUGUGAGAGUGGAAAGUUCACACUGUGACGGUAGCUUACCAGAAAGGGACGGCUAACUACGUG
rnacentral:rRNA from 1 species